rnacentral:rRNA from 1 species
AGCAGCCGCGGUAAUUCCAGCUCCAAUAGCGUAUAUUAAAGUUGUUGCAGUUAAAAAGCUCGUAGUUGAAUUUCGAGACCGGCUUACUGGUCGUGCUAUUGUACGUACUGGUAUAAUCGGUUUCUCCUUUCUGACGAACUAUAAUGCCAUUAAUUUGGUGUUAUAGGGAAUCAGGACUGUUACUUUGAAAAAAUUAGAGUGUUUAAAGCAGGCUCACGCUUGAAUACAUUAGCAUGGAAUAACGGAAUAGGACGUUUGAUUCUAUUUUGUUGGUUUCUAGGAUCGACGUAAUGAUUGAUAGGGAUAGUUGGGGGCAUUAGUAUUCAAUUGUCAGAGGUGAAAUUCUUGGAUUUAUUGAAGACUAACUACUGCGAAAGCAUUUGCCAAGGAUGUUUUCAUUAAUCAAGAACGAAAGUUAGGGGAUCGAAGACGAUCAGAUACCGUCGUAGUCUUAACCAUAAACUAUGCCGACUAGGGAUCGGAUGAUGUUAAUUUUUUAAUGACUCAUUCGGCGCCUUAC